rnacentral:lncRNA from 1 species
AAAAAGAAACAAUAGAGUCAGCUGCUAGAGCUCUUUCUUCUUCCAAAAAAAAAAAAACUAGGAAAAACCAUAGAACCAAAAAAUUCACCCUGCCAAUUGCCAUAACCCAGAAAGGAGAGCACCCAUCAACGGGAACCUUCAGCAGCACCAAAUCAACACAGCCUCCCAUCCCCUCUCUUUCUUAGAUUUUCAGCCAAAAAACCCAAAAUAUGGCGACACUUCCUUCCAACAAAACUGCCACUACAGUGAAGUUACACCAAAGUUCCAUCCAUCUAGUUCGCGGCCAUCGUUGGAGUCUCGGUCAUGGUUCUGUAAUUCAGCGGUCAUCGACUUUUUUUUUUGUCGGAGUUUGCCUCUGUUGCUAUACAAUUUUCUUUGGAGAUAAUUUUAUCAUAAG